rnacentral:lncRNA from 1 species
UGAAUUUCACAAAAGUCGUUGUACGUCAAGUCUUCAAGAUAGGAAUACUCAAAUCGGCGAUUGUUUCGUAAUUGUCCCUCUGGAAUGGAUGAAACUGAUGCCUUAGAUGUGCUCUAGGGGUCACCUACUCGGGAGGCGACAUCUGCGAUGGAGAUUGUGUCUGAUCCAUUAUGACGGUCAAGCCUGACGCAGAAUCGGUGAUUUAGGGUGGAAUCGACGAG